GCUGCUCAGAGCUGGCGUCCCAAGCCAACUCCUAACCAACACGCUACUCAGCCGGCCCCUGCCCUUCCGCUUUUGCCCAAAAUGGACAUGCUCCCGGUGCUGUAGGUAUUAGUUGGCCAGAAAACAACCAGGACUGACUUUAACCAUCUGACAAAUAAAAUCAUCCACCCUCUGGAAGGAUAACAAACCUUAGGAAAAAACCAAUACAGUCAAUUUGCUAAGUAAUUGCUUGUCAGAUGUCAGAGGCCUGGGGGACACAGACGUGGAAAGGAGCUGACUGCUUUGGGAUGUGCCCUUCCUGCUGGUAGCUGUUGGCUCAGCAGAUACAGCUGGGUUGAUGAAAAGCAUUCAUUUUCCCCCAGGGGAUUGUUUCAGAGAGGAUAGGUUAGGUUCUGCCUGUAACAAUAAACAUCUCAAUGGCUUAACACUCAAGAGGCCCCUUCUCCAGGCUGAAGCCUAGAAGGAAGGGAUAAGAAUCGCUCCCCUUUGCUGAGCAGUGCUGGCUAGGUACAGGGCUCGAUGCUGAGUGUUGAUCCUAAUCCCACAACCACCAUGUGAAGGCUGUAUUAUCCCAGUAGUAGAUGAGGGCCCCUGAGGCUUAGGGUGAGUCAAGCAAUGUGCUCAGGGUCACACAGCUGCACAGGGAUGGAACAAGGACCCAGGAAGGUCAGUCUGACACUAAGCUGUAACUGCUGACCACCACAAUACCCUUGAUGUACAUGGAUUGCUGAAAUGAAUAAAUGGUCCAGCAAGAAGCUAUGUGAAACCUGAAGCUACUCUUGUGAAGAGGAAAGCCAUGAUGGCAGACAGAGCUCUGGGCUCGCACGCUGGGUGCGCAGCUUGAGAACCAUGUCAGCAAGGACAAGUCAUCUAACCCUUUGAGCCUCAGUUUACUCAUCUGUGAAAAGGGAACGUGUACCCUUGGUGGCGUGUUGUAAUUAAAUAGGACAGUGAAUGUAAAAUCGGGAUUAGCACAGGGCCUGACUCAAAAUAGAUGCCUAACACCUGUUCUCAUCAGAGAGGCUGCUGAGCACCAUGGAAAAGGCAGAGUUUAGGCUACAGAGAUAGGGAGAAAAUCCCUUUGGAAGUCUGGCAGCUCUGCUCCUCCCUAUGAAAAAGGUUUUUAGCUUUGUUUCCCCGGAGUGAUCAGCAGAAACACCUUUAAAAUAAAAAGGGUCUUUUGGAUUAAUUUGUAGAGAAAACGCUAAGAAAGGGCAAGCUGGGAAGAAAAUAGAAACUAGAAGAAAUAAAAAACAUGGACGGCAGCUUUAAAAAGAAUGAAUUGAGGACUGACUUCGGGAGAAUACAAUUUUUCUGACAAAACUGUCCAAGAACACUAUGCCAUCCUUCCGUUGCCUGACUUUUGCAGGAUUCCAAAAGAGGUAAUUCUGCAAUUAUUUUAGAGGGUGUUACCUAUACUCCCUGAACUUUUCUUAAUCCUUUGAGAGGUAAGACAUUAUUUUUGGAGGCACUUAUCCUGUCAUCACCAUGAAGAUUCUCAGAUGUCACCUGGUCUCCCUCUGCCAGAGCCUCACUGGGUGGAAGCUCUAUAUGAUUCUCCAAAAUCACUCCCAGUGCCUUCACAAAAUCCUGCAAGAUUUGCAAUUAUUUGUGAUGUAUUUGUCUUAUAUUUGUAUGGCACGGUCAGACGUUCAUGACACCCAGUGAUCAGAGAAUGUGGCCAUCAGAGACACUGACGGAACUAGUGGAAAGAGGGAGAGGAGGAGAAAGAAGACUUUUUUGCUUUUGUGCUAUGCUGACUUUGGCUUGCCCUGCCGCCUCCUAACAGCAGGGAUUUAUGAUAAUAAUAGCAAGAUGAUGAGGAUCUCCCAAAGCAGAAACAAGUAAGCCAACAACACCUGAGGUGGAUGUUCUUUUACUGAAGAGGAAUUUGAAGCUCCGAGGGGCUAAGUAUAGACCCUAAUUACACAGGUAGGAGCAGCAAUGUGAACCUAUGUCUUUCUGGCCCCAAAGCCUUUGUUCGUAACCAUGAUGUCAUAUAUCUCCCAGAAGGGCACAGUCAUCCAGGCAAGUCUAAGCACAUGGCUGAUGGAGAACCUACAGCCUAAAGGCACCCACUGGCAUAAGCAGACUUCAGGUCUUCUGCUGCCCAGGCCAGCACUCAGCAGCCCAGCCCCUGGGCCUGAUCCCAGUGGGUCAGCUGGACGCCAGGUCAAGAACUUCAAAUUACACAUCUCACCAGUCAUGGAGUUAACCGGAUCUAAGCAGCCAAAGGAACACCUUCCCAGAAAGCCCUGACAGAGGGGCGUAGCCUGGCGACAUACAAAACACUUCAGGAAAUGGGUCCUUCAAGAACCAUUAGAUAACAGAAGAUAAACCCUGGCCAUGUCAGAGCUCCCACCCUGGAAAUGUGCUACAGCAGACUGGGAGGGUGGGAAGAGCUGAGAUCUCACACAGACCCACUAAGGAGAGCAAGUCCUAGAAGGCACCAACACCUAGCUGCCAGCUCUGCCUCCUAGCAGCCACUCGGGGGCGGAGCUGGUCUUAUCAGAGAGCACCAUGAACCAGGCCAGGUGGAGGUGCCAGACAGAGGAGGGAGGAUGCUGGGACAGCUUCCAGGGGCUGGGACUGGCUGUCUGAGAAGGCGAGGGGCAGGUAAGGCACCUCUUAAGCUGACAGGGAACAGGAGGAUGUACUGAUUAGAAACAGAUCAUAGCCCUUCCCCCUUCCCAGACACCAUUCCUCUCCAAACCCUUGCCCAGAUCGGAAGGGAUGCCUGAGCAGUGUGAACUCUGGAGUUUUAGAACUGACUCCUUAAGAACAUGAGUUAGGGGAUGAAAGGGAAAGAGAGGACCAAAGUGAAAAGAAAAGUAGCUUGAAGUGCUGUGAAUGCAGACAUGCUAAAUACCAAGCUCUCAGGACUUGUUGGCAUUUUCUGAGCCCCUGUCCAUACUAGGAACCAUUCUGGAAGCUAUACGUGAAUUAUCUCUAAUUCAUCAUAAGCUAGAAGGUAAUACUUCCACUUCAGUCUUUAGGAAAUAGGCUCAGAGCUGAGCUGAAGUGAUUCUUCAAGGUCACACAGCAAAGUAGAGAUAUGCACUUGUGCUUGUCUUAAUUCAGAGCUGGUUCCUUCUGCAAUGUCUGACUGCCUAAAGCUGCGGUUCUCAUAGAUGUGUGAGCACCCUAUGAAGAGUAUAGCAGACUCUGGGGACUGGUGGGAAUACAUAUAGUUUAAAAAGCUUAUUUGGACAGUAAAAAGCAAAACCUAUGGUUUUUCACAGAAAGUACAGAAAACAAAAUUCGGCCAAAUCUCCUUGGUUCAUGGUCCAGUGUUGCUCACUCACUGGGUGGCCCACGUUUGGGGGGUGUUUGUGAAGAACAGCUGAACCAGGCUGGUAGGAAGUAGGCUGCAGGGAAAGUUUCAGAAAGGAGAAAGCAAGCUCUCCCCAGGAAAUCUGGCAGCAGGGUUUUAAUUUUUCUGUGAACAGAGCUAAGUACACCUGGGAACAUGUAUGUCCUGUAUACCAGGCUCUUAUCUCUGCCCCAAGUCCCUGUGAGAGGCAGGGCUGGAGGUCCCAA